rnacentral:rRNA from 1 species
GAUGAACCGUCCAAACGUUAUUCGGAAUCACUGGGCUUACAGAGUUCGUAGGCGGUCUGGUAAGUUGGGUGUGAAAUCCCUGGCUCAACCGAGGAACUGCGCUCAAAACUGCCAGACUCGAGGGAGAUAGAGGAAAGCGGAACUGAUGGUGGAGCGGUGAAAUGCGUUGAUAUCAUCAGGAACACCGGUGGCGAAGGCGGCGAUCCGGACGGUGACUGACGCUGAAACGCGAAAGCCAGGGGAGCGAACGGG